rnacentral:rRNA from 1 species
GACGAACGCUGGCGGCGUGCUUAACACAUGCAAGUCGAACGGAAAGGCCCUGCUUUUGUGGGGUGCUCGAGUGGCGAACGGGUGAGUAACACGUGAGUAACCUGCCCUUGACUUUGGGAUAACUUCAGGAAACUGGGGCUAAUACCGGAUAGGAGCUCCUGCUGCAUGGUGGGGGUUGGAAAGUUUCGGCGGUUGGGGAUGGACUCGCGGCUUAUCAGCUUGUUGGUGGGGUAGUGGCUUACCAAGGCUUUGACGGGUAGCCGGCCUGAGAGGGUGACCGGCCACAUUGAGACUGAGAUACGGCCCAGACUCCUACGGGAGGCAGCAGUGGGGAAUAUUGCACAAUGGGUGGAAGCCUGAUGCAGCAACGCCGUGUGCGGGAUGACGGCCUUCGGGUUGUAAACCGCUUUCGCUCAUGACGAAGCUUUGUGUGACGGUAGUGGGUAAAGAAGCACCGGCUAACUACGUG